CCAAAGGCUCUUUUAAGAGCCACUCACAUUUUCAAUAAAAGAGCUG
rfam:Colius striatus contig34131, whole genome shotgun sequence.